UGACAAUCACUUCUGCUACAAUCACCAUGCAAAAACCUCUGCUUUAAAGUUUCUGGAAGUUUCUGGAUCACUGAGAGUGGUUGCCCGUACAUAAGAAUUUUAAGGAAAAAUAAGAAUGAACAAACUUGUAUUACCAAAACAAGUCUUAU